rnacentral:rRNA from 1 species
UUCCGCUGAUCCUGCCGGACCUUACUGCUAUCCGGGGUGGGACUAAGACAUGCGAGUCGAGCGUCUCUAGCUAUGUUGAGACGCGGCAGACGGCUCAGUAACACGUGGCUAACCUACCCUCAGGACGAGGAUAAACCCGGGAAACUGGGGGCUAAUACUCGAUAGGUGAGAAUGUCUGGAAUGAUUUCUCAUUCAAAGGGCUUUAGAAACAUGCUUCUAAAGUCGCCUGGGGAUGGGGCCGCGUCCGAUCAGGUUGUUGGUGAGGUAACGGCUCACCAAGCCUAUAACCGGUACGGGCCGUGAGAGCGGUAGCCCGGAGAUGGGUACUGAGACAAGGACCCAGGCCCUACGGGGCGCAGCAGUCGCGAAAACUCCGCAAUGCACGAAAGUGUGACGGGGCUACCCCGAGUGCCAUCCGCUGAGGAUGGCUUUUCUUUGGUGUAACUAGCCGGGGGAAUAAGGAGGGGGCAAGACUGGUGUCAGCCGCCGCGGUAAUACCAGCUCUCCGAGUGGUAGGGAUGAUUAUUGGGCUUAAAGCGUCCGUAGCCGGCUUAGCAAGUCUCCUGUUAAAUUCAGCGACCUAAUCGUUGAGCCGCGGGAGAUACUACUAGGCUAGGAGGCGGGAGAGGUCGACGGUACUUCUGGGGUAGGGGUGAAAUCCUAUAAUCCCGGGAGGACCACCAGUGGCGAAGGCUGUUGACUAGAACGCGCUCGACGGUGAGGGACGAAAGCUGGGGGAGCGAACCGGAUUAGAUACCCGGGUAGUCCCAGCCGUAAACGAUGCGGGCUAGGUGUUGGGGUGGCUACGUGCCACUUCAGUGCCGCAGGGAAGCCAUUAAGCCCGCCGCCUGGGGAGUACGGCCGCAAGGCUGAAACUUAAAGGAAUUGGCGGGGGAGCACCACAAGGCGUGAAGCUUGCGGUUCAAUUGGAAUCAACGCCGGU